UGCGUAACACGUGAGCAACCUACCGAACUGUGGGGGAUAGCCGGCCUAACGGCCGAGUAAUACCGCAUACGCUCUCAGUGAGGCAUUUCAUUGAGAGGAAACCUACGGGACAGAUCGAGGGGCUCGCGGCCUAUCAGCUAGUUGGCGAGGUAACGGCUCACCAAGGCAACGACGGGUAGCUGGUCUGAGAGGAUGGCCAGCCACAUUGGGACUGAGAUACGGCCCAGACUCCUACGGGAGGCAGCAGUGGGGAAUCUUGCGCAAUGGCCUAACGGCUGACGCAGCGACGCCGCGUGUGGGAUGAAGCUCUUCGGAGUGUAAACCACUGUUGCCCGGGACGAACAGCUCGAUUAAUCGAGCCUGACGGUACCGGGUGAGGAAGCACCGGCUAACUCCGUGCCAGCAGCCGCGGUAAUACGGGGGGUGCGAGCGUUGUCCGGAAUCACUGGGCGUAAAGGGCGCGUAGGUGGUUUGAUAAGGGUGUGGUGAAAGUCCGGGGCUCAACCCCGGAUCUGCCGUGCCGACUGUCAAACUCGAGGGCUGUAGAGGCAGACGGAAUUCCGGGUGUAGCGGUGGAAUGCGUAGAGAUCCGGAGGAAGACCGGUGGCGAAGGCGGUCUGCUGGGCAGUUUCUGACACUGAGGCGCGACAGCGUGGGGAGCAAACAGGAUUAGAUACCCUGGUAGUCCACGCCGUA
rnacentral:rRNA from 1 species